AGUGAACGCUGGCGGUAGGCCUAACACAUGCAAGUCGAACGGCAGCACAGUAAGAGCUUGCUCUUACGGGUGGCGAGUGGCGGACGGGUGAGGAAUACAUCGGAAUCUACUUUUUCGUGGGGGAUAACGUAGGGAAACUUACGCUAAUACCGCAUACGACCUACGGGUGAAAUCAGGGGAUCUUCGGACCUUGCGCGAUUGAAUGAGCCGAUGUCGGAUUAGCUAGUUGGCGGGGUAAAGGCCCACCAAGGCGACGAUCCGUAGCUGGUCUGAGAGGAUGAUCAGCCACACUGGAACUGAGACACGGUCCAGACUCCUACGAGAGGCAGCAGUGGGGAAUAUUGGACAAUGGGCGCAAGCCUGAUCCAGCCAUACCGCGUGGGUGAAGAAGGCCUUCGGGUUGUAAAGCCCUGUUGUUGGGAAAGAAAAGCAGCAGGUUAAUACCCCGCUGUUCUGACGGUACCCAAAGAAUAAGCACCGGCUAACUUCGUG
rnacentral:rRNA from 1 species